GUCUGCGUGGAAACAAUCUGACAACAGUCGAAAGCAUUUGAUUUGUACGGUGUUGGUGCUUUUGGCCUACACUCAACGCUUUUGGCGCCUUUGGUUACAGAUUGCGCCAGGAUAAAGUGAAACAGACUAGAUUCAUCGAACAAAUGCAUCAUGUUCACAAAUUCGGCUACAUAAAACUUGGAAUUGGAAUUCGACUGCUGAAUAAUUAAAAUAAAAAUCAACACAAGGAAAUGUGAAUUUUUUAUUGUUAAACUAUAAUAUUGAGCAUUAUAAAAUGUCUAAUAAAUGCUUGGUACGUUG